GGGUUGUGAGGUUAAGCGACUAAGCGUACACGGUGGAUGCCCUGGCAGUCAGAGGCGAUGAAGGACGUGCUAAUCUGCGAAAAGCGUCGGUAAGGUGAUAUGAACCGUUACAGCCGGCGAUGUCCGAAUGGGGAAACCCAGUGCAAUUCGUUGCACUAUCGUUAACUGAAUACAUAGGUUAACGAGGCGAACCGGGGGAACUGAAACAUCUAAGUACCCCGAGGAAAAGAAAUCAACCGAGAUUCCCCCAGUAGCGGCGAGCGAACG
rnacentral:rRNA from 1 species